rnacentral:rRNA from 1 species
UGUAAGCGUAUACCAAAGUUGUUGCAGUUAAAACGCUCGUAGUCGGAAUUUGGCAGUUCCGGAUGUGUGCACGUCGUGUGCGCACUUCGCGGGGAUUGCUUUUGUGGUCUUGCGUAGGAUGAGGCACUUUUAUUAGUGAACGUCCUCACGCAACCACUUUUUACUGUGAGAAAAUCAGAGUGCUCAAAGCAGGCAUUUGCCGUGAAUGUAUUAGCAUGGAAUAAUAGAAUAGGACUUGGUUCUUUUUUGUUGGUUUGUUGGGACUGAGUAAUGAUUAAGAGGGACAGUUGGGGGCAUUUGUAUUUCGGUGCUAGAGGUGAAAUUCUUAGAUUACCGAAAGACAAACUGCUGCGAAAGCGUCUGCCAAGGAUGUUUUCAUUGA